rnacentral:rRNA from 1 species
AUUGAACGCUGGCGGCAGGCCUAACACAUGCAAGUCGAGCGGAUGAAGGGAGCUUGCUCCUGGAUUCAGCGGCGGACGGGUGAGUAAUGCCUAGGAAUCUGCCUGGUAGUGGGGGAUAACGUCCGGAAACGGGCGCUAAUACCGCAUACGUCCUGAGGGAGAAAGUGGGGGAUCUUCGGACCUCACGCUAUCAGAUGAGCCUAGGUCGGAUUAGCUAGUUGGUGGGGUAAAGGCCUACCAAGGCGACGAUCCGUAACUGGUCUGAGAGGAUGAUCAGUCACACUGGAACUGAGACACGGUCCGGACUCCUACGGGAGGCAGCAGUGGGGAAUAUUGGACAAUGGGCGAAAGCCUGAUCCAGCCAUGCCGCGUGGGUGAAGAAGGUCUUCGGAUUGUAAAGCACUUUAAGUUGGGAGGAAGGGCAGUAAGUUAAUACCUUGCUGUUUUGACGGUACCAACAGAAUAAGCACCGGCUAACUUCGUG